GGGUCUAUUCCUCCUCUGAAUAAGAGCUUAUCUUGAAUCAGUAUCCUGGGAUAUCAAAACAAGAAUUAAGAACACAUAAUUAAGAACAAGUUAAAUAUUUAUUAUACGAUUCAGAAAAUAAUAACAAGAUUCGUCUUAGGUUUCAUUCCCCUUAGGUAUUUAGGGGAUUUUAGUUCAUAACUAAAUAAGAAAACAUCUCAGAAGAAUAAAGAAUACAAAACAUAAAAAAACCCCAAAACUCCUGAAGGGAAAUUGAGGAGAGAUCUUCAGUCUUGAUGGUGAAUCUAGCUUCUGAGAUUGAUCAAUCGGCUUCCUUCGAGUAAUUCC
rnacentral:lncRNA from 1 species